rnacentral:rRNA from 1 species
GAUGAACGCUAGCGAUAGGCUUAACACAUGCAAGUCGAGGGGCAGCAUGGUCUUAGCUUGCUAAGGCUGAUGGCGACCGGCGCACGGGUGCGUAACGCGUAUGCAACUUGCCUCACAGAGGGGGAUAACCCGUCGAAAGACGGACUAAUACCGCGUACACUCUAUGUUGGGCAUCCAAUGUAGAGGAAAUGAAAUUCGCUGUGAGAUAGGCAUGCGUCCCAUUAGCUAGUUGGUGAGGUAACGGCUCACCAAGGCGACGAUGGGUAGGGGAACUGAGAGGGUGAACCCCCACACUGGUACUGAGACACGGACCAGACUCCUACGGGAGGCAGCAGUGAGGAAUAUUGGUCAAUGGGCGAGAGCCUGAACCAGCCAAGUCGCGUGAAGGAUGACUGUCUUAUGGAUUGUAAACUUCUUUUAUACGGGAAUAACAAGAGUCACGUGUGGCUCCCUGCAUGUACCGUAUGAAUAAGCAUCGGCUAACUCCGUG